rnacentral:lncRNA from 1 species
GUGAUUCUAUAAACUUCCCUAAAUGUCUUCAUCAACCAUGUGAAUUACCUGUUUCUGGAGGUUGAUUUCUACUUUUUUAGUUUUCUUACUCAUGUGGUCGGUUUUUCAGUUUUGAUCUCAUUCUAAAAUAGAUACAUGGUAACUGGUCAGAUAUAUUUUUAUAUAGCACAGGAUUCUUGACAGACAUGUCAAACUGAACUGAUAUUUUGCCCAUUUUAAGGUAAGUUUUAUUACCUACUUCCCUCUCAGACACUUUAAGAGUAGUCUGUUCUAAUCUAAAGUUUGUUCACAGUGCCUACAGACAUAGUGAAAUGGCCCUGUUCAUCUUCAUAAUAUUUUAUCUUUUACUGGUGGUUAAAUUGCAAGGUAAGUGAUCUCUCAUGCUUUAUAAUGAUAACAAUAUUGUGAUUUCCAUUUUUAUUCGCCCUUGAACUUUUUUUAAAAUUAUGAAGUAUACAAAUUUUAGAGCUCUAGACCUAUGGCAAGCAAGUUUGAUUUAUUUACAGAAUAUGAAUUCUUGAUAUCAAUAAUUAAAUUUUCACUAGUUAAAAUGCUAAUUCUUGAUAGCAGAAAUUGGAUUUUUACUAGUAACAAUGGCUAUUUUUGAUAUCAGGAAUUACAUUUCUACUAGUAAAAAUUCUAGUUGAAAUUAAAAAAAAUUCCUGAUAAUAAGAAUUUGAUUUCUGCGAGUGAUGAUGUCAUUAUUGAUAUCAAGAAUUAACAUUUUUACUAGUCUCAGUAAGGGUCAGAGGUAAGCUGUUUAAUCACAAACUACUUUUAAUGGACAGAUAAAGUGGUUUAUUCUUUUCAAAGCAGAUGUUUUUUGUUUCUUGCAAGGUUUGGCAACCAUGUCGUCUUUGCCACCAAUCACAGAGGGCAGCCCAACUACAGUGAUUCCCAAUGGAACCUUACAAGUUUUGGGUGUAACAUCCACUACUGAGUCUGAAAUCACAACAGACCUGAUAACCAAUAUGUCAAGUCUAAGUUCCCAAGACAACCAUAGUUUAAAAGAUCCUGCAAACGGUGAGUCCUCAGGACGUCUUCUCUGCAACAUUACUGUAGCCAAAAUCAUUUGAUUGAUUUGAUUUUCAUUAGAUUUAUUUACAAAUCCUCAGCAUCCUUAGAAUCGACUACACUUACUGAUAAUACAGAACGUGCUUCAGGUAAAUAUUAUAAAAUGUAUAUUUCUAUAUAUAGGGUCUUAAAAUAUUAAUUGAACUUUCAAUUCACAUAUGAGCUUAAUAAGUUGAUCAAAUCAGGUGUGAAGAGUGAAAAUGUUCAGCCACAACAAGAUUAAUAAACAUGCUGAAUAUAAUACAGAUAUGCUAAUGGUCAGUUUCUUCUUUGCAGUUUUCCCCUUGAUGACUAAAGGCCCUGAAAUCAGAAAGUACUCAAAUACAAGUAAAUAACUUAACUCAGAGGAUGAGUUAUUCAAUGCAGCACAUUCAUUAGAAACCCAAAGCCACUGAAAAUUGAAGCAACAGUGCAUUUCUUGUUCAUUUUUGACAUCUUUGUCUCACACAGAAAUGUUCUUCCUCAUUGCUGUGGUUGCAUCUGGUGGAGGAAUUGUACUGACUGGACUCGUGGGCACCUGUUUGUACAGAUAUACACGUAAGUGUAAAAAAAUCAAACAAACAAAAACAAAAACCAACAACUAUGUCUUUCAUAUGGCUUAUAGUUUUAACAUUUUAAUAGAAAGGUUAAAUGUUCAGCUUGACAGUUUGAUGUUUCUUUCAUAACAGGAAAGUCAAAGGCAGAGAGGUAAAGAAGUAUCUAUAUUUCAAUUACAUAUAUGAAAUCAUUUAAGGAAUAGUUCACUGGUUAAUUUUUUUUUUUUUUUUUUAUUUUUUUACUAAAGAAGUAAUCUAUAUUUCAAUUACAUAUAUGAAAUCAUUUAAGGUAAUAGUUCUACUGAGUUUAUUUUUUUUUUUUUUUUUUUACUUUUCUAUCAGAACAGAUUUGGGGAAAUUUAGCAUUAGAUCAGCCAAUCUUGCCAAUGGAUCCUCUGCAGUAAAUGGGUGCCAUCAGAAUCAGAGUUCAAACAGUUGAUAAAAACAUCAGAAUAAUCCACAAAUAAUCCACAUGACUCCAGUUCAACAUUUUGUGAAGUUAACAUCGCAUAUUUGUAAGGAACAAAUCCAUCACUGAGGUGAUUUAACUUUAAACCAUUGCUUCUGGCUAAAAUAUGAGACUAUAAUCUAUAAUAAUAAUUCAUAACACGUCCUCCUGUGAAAAAGUACUUCCACUGUUUUCCUCUCACAUCAAAAUCCACCCACAUAUAUGCUUAGGACUGUUUUUGCUUGUAAACAGAGUUUGAUUUGUGCAUAUCUCUCUCAUGAUUCUAGAUGACUAGAUGACAUUUUCACUGCAGAAAAAUCAAUAUCAUAGAGGACAUAUAGUGUAUUUUUGCAAGAAGCACUGGUUUGAAGUUAAAAAUGUCUUAAUUAUGGAUUUGUUUAUUACAAACAUCUUUUCACUUCACAAUAUGAAUAGACUGGAGUCGUGUGGAUUAUUGUGAUGUUUUUAUCAGCUGUUUGGACUCUCACUCUCAUUCUGACGGCACCCAUUCACUGCAGAGGAUCCAUUGGUGAGCAAGUGAUGGCAUGCUAAAUGUCCCCAAAUCUGUUCCAACGGAGAAACAAACUCAUCUACAACUUGAAUGGACUGAGCGUGAGUAAACUCUCAGCAAAUUAACAUUUUUGUGUGAACUACUCCUUUAAAAUGAAAUGUUAAAUAAUAAAGAAUGAAAAUGGGCACAAAUUAUAUUUGUGAAAUCGACUAGGAUUUGGAUCGAAUCGAGCAGCAAAAAACACAAACAGGGUACGUUUGUACUUUUUCUUCCCAAAAUGUAAGCUAUUUCUUUCUCAAAACAUAAAUAAAGGCCAAGAUUUGCUGAAAUGUCUGUCUGUAUUGUAGGACAUUCUUUACCAGUGGCCAGUUCAGACUCAGUAAGUAUUAUCAGUUUACAUUUGUAAGAUUGGCUAAUUGGCUAAUUUUAAUAAUUCCCACUGGUUAAUAGAUCACUCUUUGUUAUUUAGUCUGGAGAGGAAGAUACAGUGCUUUACUCAACCAUCAACUUCAUUCAACCCCCCUCUCAACCACCAGGUAAAGAGUAAAACAAAUCCCCUUUAUAUUAUUAUGUUACCUUCAUUUUGUCAGUUCUCUCAAAAAGUUAAAUGGAUAAAACUAUAUCUACAUCAUAUCUUAUAGUCUAAAGUCUAUCAAUCUAUCAUGGUCAGUAUCUGACAUCUGAUAUGUUGUUAUGCAGGAAACAAUGAAGAAUCAAUUCAAAAUGAGGUGCGUAAAUCAGCUGGUCUCACAUGCACAUGCAGUUAUUUAUCUUCAUUUUAAGAUUUAAUUUUCCUCCAGGUUGAACUGAAUCAUUUGUAUUACACCGUCAUAACCAAACCGGCAAUCUCCAGUGACAGCAGGAGUGUUUACGCAGUCUUCUCAUUAACACAAGUUGUACCACUACUCUUUGCAUUAUGGUAUGGUACACUGAGUUAUGCUGCUCAUCCUCCUCAUCUUUACACUCUUUCUGGAGGUUCAACCUCAGUAAGUGACUACUUAAAUUUAAAAAAAUAAAAUGUUAUAUUUCAUAUUAAGUGUCUGUUCUCCUCUGCUCUAGGAUAGUAUGCACAUUUUUGUCUUCAACAUUUUUGUCAUAAUUGUUGAUUUUAGGUACUACCAAUUAUGGUCACACUUUAUAACAAGUAUACAGUAAUUAAGUACUAACAAGUCAUUUGUAAACUAUUAGUUUAUAGUUAAUUAAAAGUUUAUAAACUGUAUUUAAUACAUUAAUAGACGCUAUACAAAUAGUGAGUUCUUCAUUCAUUAUCACCGUAAUUAACCAAAUUAUUAUCGCUUAAUUAUCUCAUAUGUAAACUAAUUAACUGUUCUCACUUUCACUUAGGUCAUGGAAAAUGGGAAAAUGUUAAGCAUUAUGUAACGCUUUAGAUAUGAGCUAAUUAAAUAAUAUUAAUUGUGUUAACUACAGUGACAAUGAAUGAAGAACUCACUAUUUGUAUUGUGGCAGUAUGAAAAAACGUAAACUUGUAUCUCAAAAACACACACUUUUUUGUCACACAGUACAGACUGUUUGGUAUUUGUAUUAUCUACAACUAUAAUCAAGUGUUUAAUAAUGUUUAACAUGAUCUAAGAAUUCUAUAUUUAAUUGUUUUCUUUCCUUUUGUUUUUUUUUUUUUGUCUCUAUUAUAAUGUUAACUAUG